UACGGAGGGAGCUAGCGUUAUUCGGAAUCACUGGGCUUAAAGGGCGCGUAGGCGGGCGGACAAGUCGGGGGUGAAAUCGUUCGGCCCAACCGGACAAGGGCCCCCGAUACUGGCCGUCUGGAGGGAGGUAGGGGUCGAUGGAACUUCCGGUGGAGCGGUGAAAUGCGCAGAUAUCAGGAGGAACACCGGUGGCGAAGGCGGGUCUCUGGGCCGAUACUGACGCUGAGGAGCGAAAGCGUGGGGAGCGAACAGG
rnacentral:rRNA from 1 species